ACGGCACAUGUUGGACUAGUUCAACGAGAACCCGCUUGGUUCGCAGCGAGCGCAUAGCGCCGGAGCUCAGGAGCUUGGCUUCAAAACAGGGGCAUCGCGCAUUCCAUGUAUUGAAUAUGGCGGUAAGCACACCAGUCUUUCUAGCCCACCAUAAAACGCUUAACGCUCGUCGUCCGUCCGUUAACAAGUGUAAUCUGUUUUCAUCAGUGGUUUUCCUCGCGUUUAUCAUAGUAUCGUCAGGAACACCGGAAAAGCUAGAUGUCGCUAGCAAACAAGUAUAUUUUCGGUGUUCUGAGGGGAAAGUGUAGUGAGUGCGAAGAUUGCAAAGAAUAUAUAACCGAAAACGAACGUCACCACCGCAGCCCUAAUUCACACACUUCAUACACUGGGAUCCCACAUGCAGGUUCACAUACCGUCACCAGCGCAAUGCAGUACCUCACAAACUCGUCCCAGAGCGCCUCCAACGCUGAUAACGCAGUAAUGUAGUGUCUCCUGCGUUACUGUACACUCAUAUUCCUCAAGGUUGUGUGCGUUUUAUGUAAUACUGUAUUGCCAUUUGCGCUCGCCUCUGCAACACGAAUGUGGAAUAAAUUUUUUUCUGCUGCAAUU